GUGAUAAAUGAAAGUGAUAGAAUUGAAAAGUGAAAUGAUUCAAAAAUGUAAAUUAGAGUUUUGUUGGGUUUCCGGAAACGACGAUCUGCAAUGGACCAAAUAUUCUCUUUGCGUCGAAUCCUCGACAAGUUCAGAGAAGUAAACUUGCAGGCUUACCAUCAGUUUCGAGACUUCAAGGCGACAUACGAUACAGUUAAGCGCAACGAGUUAUGCCAGGUUAUGCUUUGAUUUGUAGAACCCCUUGACGGUUUCUCAUCAUGCGUCGAGCUGUACGAAGCAUACCAACACGCAAAUAUCAGCGAACUGAUAAAAUACGGCAGACUACAGUGUGCUGGCCACGUGGCACGAAUGUUGGAGGAGCGACCAGCAAAGAUAGUAUUCAGUAGAGAGCCCGACAGAGGUCGGCGACUCCGUGGUAGACCCCAUACUCGUUGGACGUGUGGUGUGAAUGAGGACGCCCGAUCGGCGGUACUUAGAGUUCGGCAGUCGCCAGAGACCUGUUGCCAUAAAAAUAAAGUAGGUACCGUAAAGUAUAGGCUUCAACAAUCUUCAAGGCAAAAACGAGUGGACUUUACUAUCUUUAAAGGUUAAUGCGUGGUUACUAGUUUUAUUCGAGAACUUUGUAAGACGAUGAAAUUCCUGUUUUUCUGUAUGUGGAUGGGUUAUUGAUUUUGGGACGAAAAUUUCUAUACAUUGCCUAAUAACCCAAAAAAUAGAACUUCGAUCAGGAUCAGGAACAUAAAAUACAUCUUUAAUAUAUAACUUUUGAUCUGAUCGCCCAAUACAUUCAGUAAAACCUACAACUUGUGUAUAAAUUCAUUCGAUCAAACCUCCUAUCACUGAACUUACACAAAGCUGCGCACACCCAACUCGUUAAAGCAUUCCGGAGCUUCCGGUCAUUCAAAUUAAUACAGAUGAAACUCGUAGAGUAGGCAAAUUAAAAUAUCUAGGACUUAACUUGGAUAGUGUCCUGAACUGGGAGCAAUACAUCCUGCACACCACAGCUAAACUAGGAGCCUGUGUGUAAAAUUCCGAAAAAUACCACCGUUUGUACCAAUGGAAUGGAUCAUAAAUAUGUACUAGUCUCUGUUUGGGGGAACGCUUGCAUGUCCAGGCUACGGAAUUUUUAGGUUCUACAGAAUCGUUGCUUGAAAACUAUCGUCAAAAACUGCAUCUCUAUCCAACGGAACAACUGUACAACGAUUUGUAGGACUCGUUUCUACCUAUUCGGGGACUACAUUUGUUGCAGACAUUAACACACAUGCACAAUAUCGUAACAAAUCCAGCCAGUCAUCACAACAUGAUAAUUAGGUACAAGGAAUUUCCAGGAGAACAACGAGAACUUUCACAACAACUCGUUUGUCUAGACCGAAUACGGAGCAAGAUAAAAAGCGCUUCGACUAUAGAGGUUGUGAACUGUACAAUGAAUUACCAGCAGCAAACAAACAACAACAAAUGGCCAUCCUGUUCAAGAGGGACUUAAAGUAACACCUCGAACUCAAUAUCUACGCAUCAUCUAUUAACAUAGGAAUCGGGCCUGAUGGUCGAAUGGAACAUCGCUUUCAAACAGCGCACGUCUUCUGUUGAUAAACGUCAACUGCUCUAGACGAAUGCAUUGUUCCAAAGCCCGCUACUACACGGACAAUCGCCAAGUCAUCUGCCUUUCAAUGCUUCGUUCCCAUCAACUAGUCAAAUGGUCAACUAGAUAGAUUGCCACCUCUCGUACACCGUGGUCAAUUGUUUCGUAGUGAAAACAUCAGGCUUGAUGGUCGAGCGGAACAUUAGUUUACGUCAGAGAGUUAUGAAUUGAAUUGUAUGAGAUUAAGUAAGUACGCUUUCUUCAAAGAGAUCCUUAUCUCACUGGAAGCUGCUAUAAAUAAUUAAAUAAAUAAUAUCAAUCAUUUGUCCUUUUUUCUUCCUUUUUCGAAUCUGCGUGACUUAUCACAAUGCCAAAUUGAGUCUCGCAUGACCUAACCAAACUAAACACUAGCGGGGUCGGUAGAGCCUAAUCUAGGUUUCGACUAACCCUAGCAUUACUAAUAAAUCCUUGAGACUAACAUCAAUCCAUUGCACUCAUAGACAUAAAAUGGCAUUACUAACUUUUUUCACUUUUCAUACUUUUACUUUAUCAUAAAUCUUAAUCAUCUUGCUAUUUUCGCACUUCCUAAAUCAUCUUCCACCCAAAACUUAAUUCCUUAAUUCGCACUUCCUAAAACAUCUUCCACUCAAAACUUAAUUCCAUUUUACCUAUACUAUAUUAUUACUAAUGCUUGAAUUCAUUUUUUUUACCUUUGCAUGUGAGAACGAGAUUCAACUAACUAUUUCCAAAAAUGGAAGUUUUGAUAUAAAAUGAAGGUGCUAUGCUUGUUAGAAUACCGAGAGAUGGAUAUUGCCUUUUUUCGGUUAUCUGUCACCAAUCCUAUAGUACAGGAAUAAAACCUAAAAGACAUUUAUGAGGAAGUUAUCGAAAUGAGAAGAAAUAUCGUCGGCUGAAUCGGAUACAGAGAUGCAAGGUCAAUCAUUUCUCCAAAAAUUAGAAAGCAGCAACGAAUGGGAUGUAGAGCAAGCAUUGCUGCGGCUUCGAGGUUAACAGUUGCCUGGACAUGAAGGUAAAAGACAAAAUUGCGUGAUUGGUCAGAACGACGAUGGAUAGAGGGAUGUGUAUAGCAGGGGCGACUCGUGGCUGUUGAAUCCACCUGUUCAACUAGAAACUCUGAAAAUCAGAGUUUGGAGAAGUAACUACAAUUUUAUCCGCGAAUAAAAGCAAAUUCAUUUUUUGCCUGGCGUCCCCAUGUGCAUUGCACAGGUUGCACCUAUGGACGAGUCGCCCCUGGUGUAUAGUGUGAGUUUCGGGGACGCUCUCGAGUCCUUUCAAAUCUCGAAGAGGGUUGCGGCAGGGUGAUGUGUUUUUUAUGUCUGCUUUUUAACACUGCCAUGGAAGGUGUUAUUAGAAGAGUGCGGAUAGAGACGAGUGGUACAAUCUUCAGGAAGUCCGGCAACUUUGAGACGUUGACGAAAACGUACAGCACACUUAAGGCAGAGGCCAAUCGAGUCGGACUAGUCAUAAACACGUCGAAGACAAAAUCAUGAAAAGUAGAGGCUGGAAGGAAAACUCUGUUGGCCUCCCACCACGAAUUCUAAUUGACGGUGACGAAAUCGACGUGGUAGAUGAGUUUGUGAAUUUGGGUUCACUAGUGACCGUCGACAGAAAGGUAAAAAUACUCAUUAUGGCCGAAUAUCGCGCUUACUUUGGACUGCGGAAAACGCUUCGAUCGAACAAA